GACGUAGGGCGCGAGCGUUGUCCGGAUUUAUUGGGCGUAAAGAGCUCGUAGGCGGUUUGUCGCGUCUGCCGUGAAAGUCCGGGGCUCAACCCCGGGACUGCGUCCGAUACUUCCGAGCUGGAGGUAGGUAGGGGAGAUCGGAAUUCCUGGUGUAGCGGUGAAAUGCGCAGAUAUCAGGAGGAACACCGGUGGCGAAGGCGGAUCUCUGGGCCUUACCUGACGCUGAGGCGCGAAAGCUAGGGGAGCGAACAGG
rnacentral:rRNA from 1 species